rnacentral:tRNA from 1 species
GCCUGGGUGGCUCAGUCGGUUGAGCAUCUGACUUCGGCUCAGGUCAUGAUCUCACGGUCUGUGAGUUCGAGCCCCAUGUCAGGCU